UUCAGAUUGCAGUCUGCAACUCGACUGCAUGAAGUCGGAAUCGCUAGUAAUCGCGGAUCAGCAUGCCGCGGUGAAUACGUUCCCGGGCCUUGUACACACCGCCCGUCACACCAUGAGAGUCGGGAACACCCGAAGUCCGUAGCCUAACCGCAAGGAGGGCGCGGCCGAAGGUGGGUUCGAUAAUUGGGGUGAAGUCGUAACAAGGUACC
rnacentral:rRNA from 1 species